AGAAGGGGUCUCACUAUGUUGUCUGGAGUGCAGUGGCUGGAGUGGAGUGGCUAUUCACAGGAGAUGACAGCUCCGUGUGUGUUACUGCCCCUGAAGACCUUCCAGUGAGACAAGAUGUGGAGGCGGAAGACCAUAAUAUUGGAGAUCCUGUCCCUGUGUAGGCCAAGGCUAGUGUGUGUAUUUGUGUCUCAAUUUUUAACAAAAAAGUUUAAAAGGAUUCUUGGAAUGGACUGUAAAAGUGUGGAGUCAAGACUUUGUGUUUCCUCUCUAACAUGUAAAGAGCUUAGAAGUUGUCGCUAUUGCCCUUACAACAAAAUGAAGCUGGACAAACUGAAAAUCAAUGACUUUUCUUGGACUCACUAUAGAGCUGAGUUUGCAGAGUAAACCACUACCCUGAAAUCUGGAAAGGCAGGUGCACCCAUAGAUCCUCAGCUGAGAUCCAAUUACCUGAAAUAGAAGCUGCCAUUAGGAACACUUAAAAGAGCCUGUUCUGCUGGGACACAGAAUCACUUGCUCCAUCUCAUACAUUGAUGAUGAUUAAUUUGUAUGUGUACCUUCCAAAAAAAGAUGGUUGUGUUUGAACGGAGGCCUUCUGGACAGGAAAAUAUGGAGAGUGCGUGCUUUGGAUUCAAGACUGGGAAUGAGGGGACCAGAAACCUAUUCUGUGGCUGU
rnacentral:lncRNA from 1 species